rnacentral:lncRNA from 1 species
CCGUGCUGAGCUUGAGGCCGAUGUAGAGGCUGGUGCUCAGCUGCGUCUUGACCCGCUCGUGCUCCAGCUGCAGCUCGCCCUCGCCGCCGCCGCUCAGCUCGGUUGUGUGGCAGUCCGCCUCGGCCAGGCCGGGCCCCGCCGCCAGCUCCAGCUCGUCCCGCCGCCUCUUCAUCCAGCGCUCGUUGAGCUCCUCCUGGAUCUCGGCGGCCAGGUGCUCCAGCAGCUCCUCCUGCCGCGCCCGCUGCUCCUGCAGCUGCAGCACCUCCUCGCACUUCCUGGCGUAGUCGUCCUCGGGGCGGCCGGCGCCGGGCUGCGCCUCCCGGCCCGGCUCCUCGCCGCCGGCGCCCACCAGGAAGACAUACAAGCCAGAGGCCCGGAAAGCACACGGACUCAUUGUGGAGCACAGCUUCCAGCUGUGCCAUCCCUACAGGUGUCUGUGAAUCGCGCUGGAUGUCCACCUGCACCUUCAGUUCAG